rnacentral:rRNA from 1 species
GGUUAAGUUAGAAAGGGCGCACGGUGGAUGCCUUGACACUAGGAGUCGAUGAAGGACGGGACUAACGCCGAUAUGCUUCGGGGAGCUGUAAGUAAGCUUUGAUCCGAAGAUUUCCGAAUGGGGAAACCCACCAUACGUAAUGGUAUGGUAUCCUUAUCUGAAUACAUAGGGUAAGGAAGACAGACCCAGGGAACUGAAACAUCUAAGUACCUGGAGGAAGAGAAAGCAAAUGCGAUUUCCUGAGUAGCGGCGAGCGAAACGGAACAUAGCCCAAACCAAGAGGCUUGCCUCUUGGGGUUGUAGGACAUUCUAUACGGAGUUACAAAGGAACGAGGUAGACGAAGCGACCUGGAAAGGUCCGUCGUAGAGGGUAACAACCCCGUAGUCGAAACUUCGUUCUCUCUUGAAUGUAUCCUGAGUACGGCGGAACACGUGAAAUUCCGUCGGAAUCUGGGAGGACCAUCUCCCAAGGCUAAAUACUCCCUAGUGAUCGAUAGUGAACCAGUACCGUGAGGGAAAGGUGAAAAGCACCCCGGAAGGGGAGUGAAAGAGAUCCUGAAACCGUGUGCCUACAAAUAGUCAGAGCCCGUUAACGGGUGAUGGCGUGCCUUUUGUAGAAUGAACCGGCGAGUUACGAUCCCGUGCGAGGUUAAGCUGAAGAGGCGGAGCCGCAGCGAAAGCGAGUCUGAAUAGGGCGUUUAGUACGUGGUCGUAGACCCGAAACCAGGUGAUCUACCCAUGUCCAGGGUGAAGUUCAGGUAACACUGAAUGGAGGCCCGAACCCACGCACGUUGAAAAGUGCGGGGAUGAGGUGUGGGUAGCGGAGAAAUUCCAAUCGAACCUGGAGAUAGCUGGUUCUCCCCGAAAUAGCUUUAGGGCUAGCCUUAAGUGUAAGAGUCUUGGAGGUAGAGCACUGAUUGGACUAGGGGUCCUCAUCGGAUUACCGAAUUCAGUCAAACUCCGAAUGCCAAUGACUUAUCCUUAGGAGUCAGACUGCGAGUGAUAAGAUCCGUAGUCAAAGGGAAACAGCCCAGACCGCCAGCUAAGGUCCCAAAGUGUGUAUUAAGUGGAAAAGGAUGUGGAGUUGCUUAGACAACUAGGAUGUUGGCUUAGAAGCAGCCACCAUUUAAAGAGUGCGUAAUAGCUCACUAGUCGAGUGACUCUGCGCCGAAAAUGUACCGGGGCUAAAUACACCACCGAAGCUGCGGAUUGAUACCAAUGGUAUCAGUGGUAGGGGAGCGUUCUAAGGACAGUGAAGUCAGACCGGAAGGACUGGUGGAGUGCUUAGAAGUGAGAAUGCCGGUAUGAGUAGCGAAAGACGGGUGAGAAUCCCGUCCACCGAAUGCCUAAGGUUUCCUGAGGAAGGCUCGUCCGCUCAGGGUUAGUCAGGACCUAAGCCGAGGCCGACAGGCGUAGGCGAUGGACAACAGGUUGAUAUUCCUGUACCACCUCUUUAUCGUUUGAGCAAUGGAGGGACGCAGAAGGAUAGAAGAAGCGUGCGAUUGGUUGUGCACGUCCAAGCAGUUAGGCUGAUAAGUAGGCAAAUCCGCUUAUCAUAAAGGCUGAGCUGUGAUGGGGAAGCUCCUUAUGGAGCGAAGUCUUUGAUUCCCCGCUGCCAAGAAAAGCUUCUAGCGAGAUAAAAGGUGCCUGUACCGCAAACCGACACAGGUAGGCGAGGAGAGAAUCUAAGGUGUGCGAGAGAACUCUGGUUAAGGAACUCGGCAAAAUGACCCCGUAACUUCGGGAGAAGGGUGCUUUCUUAACGGAAAGGCGCAGGGAAUAGGCCCAAGCGACUGUUUAGCAAAAACACAGCUCUCUGCGAAGCCGUAAGGCGAAGUAUAGGGGGUGACACCUGCCCGGUGCUGGAAGGUUAAGGAGAGGGGUUAGCGUAAGCGAAGCUCUGAACUGAAGCCCCAGUAAACGGCGGCCGUAACUAUAACGGUCCUAAGGUAGCGAAAUUCCUUGUCGGGUAAGUUCCGACCCGCACGAAAGGUGUAACGAUUUGGGCACUGUCUCAACCAGAGACUCGGUGAAAUUAUAGUACCUGUGAAGAUGCAGGUUACCCGCGACAGGACGGAAAGACCCCGUGGAGCUUUACUGUAGCCUGAUAUUGAAUUUUGGUACAGUUUGUACAGGAUAGGCGGGAGCCUUUGAAACCGGAGCGCUAGCUUCGGUGGAGGCGCUGGUGGGAUACCGCCCUGACUGUAUUGAAAUUCUAACCUACGGGUCUUAUCGACCCGGGAGACAGUGUCAGGUGGGCAGUUUGACUGGGGCGGUCGCCUCCUAAAGUGUAACGGAGGCGCCCAAAGGUUCCCUCAGAAUGGUUGGAAAUCAUUCGUAGAGUGCAAAGGCAUAAGGGAGCUUGACUGCGAGACCUACAAGUCGAGCAGGGACGAAAGUCGGGCUUAGUGAUCCGGUGGUUCCGCAUGGAAGGGCCAUCGCUCAACGGAUAAAAGCUACCCCGGGGAUAACAGGCUUAUCUCCCCCAAGAGUCCACAUCGACGGGGAGGUUUGGCACCUCGAUGUCGGCUCAUCGCAUCCUGGGGCUGUAGUCGGUCCCAAGGGUUGGGCUGUUCGCCCAUUAAAGCGGUACGCGAGCUGGGUUCAGAACGUCGUGAGACAGUUCGGUCCCUAUCCGUCGUGGGCGUAGGAAAUUUGAGAGGAGCUGUCCUUAGUACGAGAGGACCGGGAUGGACGCACCGCUGGUGUACCAGUUGUUCUGCCAAGGGCAUAGCUGGGUAGCUAUGUGCGGAAGGGAUAAGUGCUGAAAGCAUCUAAGCAUGAAGCCCCCCUCAAGAUGAGAUUUCCCAUAGCGUAAGCUAGUAAGAUCCCUGAAAGAUGAUCAGGUUGAUAGGUUCGAGGUGGAAGCAUGGUGACAUGUGGAGCUGACGAAUACUAAUAGAUCGAGGACUUAACCAU